rnacentral:rRNA from 1 species
UUCAACGGCCGCGGUACCCUAACCGUGCGAAGGUAGCGUAAUCACUUGUCUACCAAAUAUAGACCAGUAUGAAAGGCCCCACGAGGGUUACACUGUCUCCUAGCUUCAAUCAGUUAAACUGAUCUCCCCGUGAAGAAGCGGGGAUACAAUUAUAAGACGAGAAGACCCCAUGGAGCUUCAAACUAAAAAUCAACUGCUAAAUCACAUACCCCCCAAAUACAGCAGCUAUGAUACCAAAGUUUUCGGCUGGGGCGACCACGGAGUAUAGCAAAACCUCCACGUUGAAAGAAUAUUAAAUUCUUACCAA